rnacentral:rRNA from 1 species
ACUCGAGUGGCGAACGGGUGAGUAACACGUGGGUGAUCUGCCCUGUACUUUGGGAUAAGCCUGGGAAACUGGGUCUAAUACCGAAUAUGACCACUUCUUGGAUGGGGUGGUGGAAAGCUUUUGCGGUAUGGGAUGAGCUCGCGGCCUAUCAGCUUGUUGGUGGGGUAAUGGCCUACCAAGGCGUCGACGGGUAGCCGGCCUGAGAGGGUGUACGGCCACAUUGGGACUGAGAUACGGCCCAGACUCCUACGGGAGGCAGCAGUGGGGAAUAUUGCACAAUGGGCGCAAGCCUGAUGCAGCGACGCCGCGUGGGGGAUGACGGCCUUCGGGUUGUAAACUCCUUUCGCAACCGACGAAGCUUUUGUGACGGUAGGUUGAGAAGAAGCACCGGCUAACUACGUGCCAGCAGCCGCGGUAAUACGUAGGGUGCGAGCGUUGUCCGGAAUUACUGGGCGUAAAGAGCUCGUAGGUGGUUUGUCGCGUCGUUUGUGGAAUACCGCAGCUUAACUGCGGGGUUGCAGGCGAUACGGGCAUAACUUGAGUGCUGUAGGGGAGACUGGAAUUCCUGGUGUAGCGGUGGAAUGCGCAGAUAUCAGGAGGAACACCGAUGGCGAAGG